rnacentral:rRNA from 1 species
UACGGAGGGUGCGAGCGUUGUCCGGAAUCACUGGGCGUAAAGGGCGCGUAGGUGGCGCGGGAAGUCAACGGUGAAAGUUCGGGGCUCAACCCUGAAUCGGCCGUCGAUACUCCCGGGCUGGAGCACUGUAGAGGCAGAUGGAAUUCCGGGUGUAGCGGUGGAAUGCGUAGAGAUCCGGAAGAACACCGGUGGCGAAGGCGGUCUGCUGGGCAGUAGCUGACGCUGAGGCGCGACAGCGUGGGGAGCAAACAGG